UGUGUAGAGGCAUGAAACAUGCUGUGUUCUGUGUACUGGUAAAUUUCUCGCCUCUCACAGU
rfam:Sarcophilus harrisii ctg7180001555439, whole genome shotgun sequence.